GCGCAGAUAGUACAAUGGCUAGUAUAGCGGCCUUCCAAGCCGUUGAUCCGGGUUCGAAAAUGAAUCUUUCAUCGAAUGUCCCGGUCUGCGCA
rnacentral:tRNA from 1 species